UACGUAGGGAGCGAGCGUUGUCCGAAGUUACUGGGCGUAAAGCGCGCGUAGGCGGGCCAUUAAGUGAGAGGUGAAGUUCCAGGGCUCAACCCCGGAACUGCCUCUCAUACUGUUGGUCUUGAGUGAGGUAGAGAGAAGUGGAAUGGCUGGUGUAGCGGUGAAAUGCGUAGAUAUCAGUCGGAACACCGGUGGCGAAGGCGGCUUCUUGGGCCUUUACUGACGCUGAGGCGCGAAAGCCAGGGGAGCGAACGGG
rnacentral:rRNA from 1 species